CUGAUAAGGAAAGAAAUAGUCCUGUCCAGACUUGACCAGGAUAAUCUUCUUAAGACUCGAUAUUCCAUUAUUGACAUCCUGCCCAUAGAAAGAACAGUAAUCAGACUGAGCUUAGUGACUGACAACAGCUAAUUUUUAGCAUUAGAACAAAGCUAGUUUUUCUUCUGGUACACCUCAAAAGGACUAACCAUUUCCCAUACAAGAGCUACACUACAUCCGUAGGCAGUGACCAUACAGCCCAGGUGCUAAAGUUGGAGCUACAUCGUAAGAUCCAGAAUAGUGUAAGUGUAUCUCUCUUUUUUUAUCUUCCAAAUACCAGAGACUUACUACAGUAUCAGUCCCUGUAUUCUCUGCUGGUUUUGUCAUUCCAUAAACCACAAAGGACAUUCAAGGCUCUACACCUACACCCCAUUCCAUUCCCCCCUGUUCUACCACAUUUCUAUUCACUGGAGAAGAGAGACACUGGAUUCGUGGAUUCGGUGGUGUAGCUGCCUGUAAGAACUGUAUCAGUAUUAUCUAGGGGCUCAAUAUUUUUCAUUUUGUUUUCCCUAAUGUUGUGAUAGCCUUUAUACUUAUUUCUUCGGAUGGACCCCCUUUUCGUACACACAGCGGUUCAAAAAGAGAAUAGUCAAGAAUACAGAACAGCAUCACCAGAGAGGAAUCCGCAAGAUGAAUUUACCUUGCUCUGAGGAAGAAUAUUGAAUUUGUAAUAACACUUAUCCCAGCCGCCAGGGCAAAAUGCCUCAUCGCCAUGGCAAUGUGGCACCUCGGAUUUGUUAAGCCUGUUCAGCGUCUGCAGAAUCAGCCUCUCUGCAGCGGUGGCUGAGGCAGAAUGAAGCAGGGCGGCGAGGGAGCUGUAAUCUCGAAGCUCUUCUUGCUCUGAUCCCUCGCGCCAAGCUGUAAGGACGGUUGCGGGUUAUAACCUCACUCUAGCCCCAGCAUCCCUAAACAGCACACGAGGGAGCAAAGCAAGAGCUUUUCAGCAGCUACCCUGGACCCCAAAGAAAGGGAGGCUGGGUGGGCUGAAAGGGGCACUCCAGGCAACAAAACAACUUAAUCUUAAUGAAGUUGUUAUGGUUACAGGAGGCCCCCGGGUGCACUCUUACCUUCUCGAGCGGUUGGCCAAGAGUGGUCAGCUGAUGCUCUCAGACAAUCAGGGACACCGCAUUCACAAAACUGGUUUGGAAAGAAACUUACCUUUUCCAGCCAAUCUGCUGUGCCCUUGCAGGGCGGCACUCCACCCUUCCUGAAACGGAAAAUUCUGAAGCUGGAUACCGCCUGGGGGCGAAUUAGUUGAGAUCAGCGCUGGAGGCAACUAUGGGAUUAAACCGCUUGAGAUCAGUUUAACCCCUGAAGGUAAGCGUGCACCCAAGACCCCCCUGGCACCUUAACAACUUUCUUUAAAUGAAGUUGUUAUGGUGCCUUAUGCUGACUAAACUGCUCCUUUAAAUAAAAAAAACAAACAAUUUGAGACUGUGUGUGAGAGAAUAUAUGUGUGUCAAAUUACUGAGUGUGUUUAGGUGACCGGCCCCCCUGCAGUCCCAUGGGAAAGUUAUUUUUACUCACCUUUUCCCCCACGCCAUGCCGGUCCCACUGUGGCUGGUCGUACCUCCAUGAUGGAGAUAAUCAAUCUUGAUGAUCUAAUGCCAAAUCAAUGUUUUCCCAUAGGAAAGCAUUGGGAGAUUAUUGCACGUGAGGCAAACCACCACACUGCGCCAAUCAGCAUCUCCUCAUCAUAGAGCAUUGAGUCAAUGCAUCUCUAUGGGGAACAUUCAGCACCUUCAUGCAGAGCAUAGUCUAAGAAGCACCUCUGACUGUCACUAGAGGUGCUUCUAGCAAUGUAAACACUGCCUUUUCUCUGGAAAACCUGCAGGGACAGGCAAUAGCCACUAGAGAACUACAUUAAAGCUGUAGUGGAUCUGGUGACUAUAGUAUCCCUUUAAGAAUUGUAUUUUUAUUGUUGAAAAUAAAGCUUUGUUAGAUUAAAAAAAAACAAAAAACAAAAAAAA